rnacentral:rRNA from 1 species
UACGAGUGCUCCAAGCGUUAUCCGGAAUCAUUGGGCGUAAAGGGUGUGUAGGUGGUUGUGUUAGUCUUCUGUCAAAUUCUUCGGCUUAACCGGGGUCCGCAGGGGAACGGCACAACUAGAGGAUGCGAGAGGUGAAUGGAACUCAUGGAGUAGGGGUGAAAUCCGUUGAUAUCAUGGGGAACACCGAAUGCGAAGGCAGUUCACUGGCGCACUCCUGACACUGAGACACGAAAGCGUAGGUAGCGAAUGGG